rnacentral:rRNA from 1 species
AACGAACGCUGGCGGUAGGCUUAACACAUGCAAGUCGAACGAGCUGGGGGCUUCGGUCCGCGAUGCUAGUGGCGCACGGGUGGGUAACACGUGGGAAUAUGCCCUUUAGUACGGAAUAACCAGGUGAAACUUUGGCUCAUACCGUAUACGCCCUUCGGGGGUAAGAUUUAUCGCGAAAGAAUUAGCCCGCUUCCGAUUAGGUAGUUGGUGAGGUAAUGGCUCACCAAGCCCAGGGUCAAUAGCUGGGCUGAGAGGAUGAUCAGCCACACUGGGACGGAGACACAGCCCAGACUACUACAGGAGGCAGGAGUGGCGAAUACUGGAAAAUGGCGGCAACGCUGAUCCAGCCAUGCCGCGUGAGUGAAGAAGGCCUUAGGGUUGUAAAGCUCUUUAGACGGGGACGAUGAUGACGGUACCCGAAUAAGAAGCCCCGGCAAACUUCGUG